GAAGAGGCACUUGAAGGCUUCCUUGGACACAAAUCACUUUUGAGGGAGAUGAGUUUGGGAAGAGCCUGGUGAGCCUGCCCCAGGAUCGUGGAGCAUCCAACAGCACCGGAGCCGUGCUCCCAGGUGGACAGAUGGGCUCUGCCUGCUUCCCGUGGCUGAGCUUGCUGCUUCUCAGUGGCCUCGCUCUGCGGCCAGGUAUUGCUGCGCCAACAGGUGACCCUGCUGAAGAGACAAAAGGCUUUUCCUCUAACAAUACACGUGUGACAGUUUAUCGUUGUAAAGAUUGUGACAGCAAAAUUUGCCAAUUAUCCAAUUAUGAGAUCUUUGAUAAAAUUGGAGAAACUAAAAAUGGGACAUUAUCAAAUGACAUAAUUCAGUUGGUGACCACUGAAACUCACAUCAUUAUGUGCUUUCAGCAAGAAAUUAAGUAUCUUAAUGAAGUUUAUGCCAUCUUCUGGCAGGAAGACUGGGGAAUAGGAGAAUCCUGUGGCAACCUGGAGCUUGGAGAAAAUGAGGUGCAUCACAUCACAGAGGAGGAGAAAAUCUGCUGUGCAGUAGAGGCAGAAGAAAUCCAACCACAAGUGGCUAACCUGAACUGCUACGUUGAAAAUAAGAAAAGCUCAAUAUACCAGACCCCCGAUAAUAUAACUCCAGAUAAUCCAACAGAUCCAGACAGCAGCAAGACAAUUGGCAUCACUGCCACUUUCCUGAUUCUUGGGGUUUGUGCAGCAGCACUGGCACUGUACUGUGUUCAAAGAACCCGAAGUGGUCAAGGACGUGUCGUAGUGCUCUAUCAGAUUUUUAAAGUGAAUGGAGAGAGACAGCUGUCUUCAGAAGGUGCUAUAAAACCCAAUCAGGCUUGUGAAAGUGGAAGGUCACAGCCAUUUGAAGCAUCAUCUACAAAUGAGACAAACCAGGCCCUUAUGCCAGCAGCAUCCUCAAACAAAGUCUAG
rnacentral:lncRNA from 1 species